UUGAAAAUGAUUUGUAAUGGGUUGCUUGGGGCAAGCAACGGUUAAGUGUGGGGAUGUGACGGAUGAUGGUCCAUGGGAUAACCCUUAAGUGUGUUAAAAGACGAGUGAAUCCCUCAUUUGAUCAUGUAAUUGUCUUGAAUUAGAUAACUACGGUUGCUUGUGUUUCAGGUACAUUUAGAGCUUAAAAGUAUGGAAAUAAAGCUUCGAAUAGACACGACUGGAUUGUAGAUUGAAAGACGGAGAAUAAAUGAAAAAAAUAAAAUUUUGGAAUUGAAGAAUUAAGAAGAUAACAUGAUAGAGGAUGAAAUUACGAGAACGUAGGCGAAAACGGUGAAGAAAACGGAGUUGAAACGAGAAAGUUAUGAAGAAAACAAAAAUUGAUUGCUGAAGCCUACCGUAACUUACGGUGGUACCGUAAUUUACG
rnacentral:lncRNA from 1 species